AGAUAGCUGGUUCUCCUCGAAAUAGCUUUAGGGCUAGCCUCAUGGAUCAUUGAUGGGGGUAGAGCACUGAAUGUGCGCGGGGGCCACAAAGCCUACCAAACGCUAUCAAACUUCGAAUACCAUACAAUGCAGACCAUGGGAGUCAGUCCGCGAGAGAUAAGUUCCGCGGGCAAAAGGGGAACACCCCAGAUCAACCGCUAAGGUCCCCAAGUUCACGUUAAGUGGAGAAGGAUGUGGAAUUGCACAGACAACCAGGAUGUUGGCUCAGAAGCAGCCACACAUUUAAAGAGUGCGUAAUAGCUCACUGGUCGAGUGAUUGUGCGCCGAAGAUGUCCGGGGCUAAACGUGACACCGAAGCGAUGGGUGCAUCUGAAAGGAUGCGCGGUAGAGGAGCAAUGUGCAGAGGCAGAAGCCGUAUCGAGAGGCACGGUGGACACUGCACAAGAGAGAAUGCCGGUAUGAGUAGCGAGAGGCAUGCGAGAAACAUGCCCGUCGAAAGCCCAAGGUUUCCUGGGGAAGGUUCAUCCGCCCAGGGUAAGUCGGGGCCUAAGCCGAGGACGGAAGUCGUAGGCGAUGGACAGCAGGUGUAGAUUCCUGCACUACCGAUGGAAUGAAGCAGUGACACAGAAGGAUAACUCGAGCAGGGUGAUGGUCAACCCUGUGCAAGCAUCAAGGUUGGGUUGUAGUGAAGUACGCAACCCUAUAAGCUGAGGUGUGAUGCGGACCGAAAUUUCAGUAGGGAAGCGAGUGAGUUCACGCUGGCGAGAAAAGCUGCUAGUACAUCCAAAGGUACCCGUACCGGAAACCGACGCAGGUGGGCGAGGAGAGAAUCCUGAGACGAACGGGAGAACCCUUGUUAAGGAACUCGGCAAAAUGACCCCGUAACUUCGGGAUAAGGGGUGCCUGCGAGAGCAGGCCGCAGAGAAUAGUCACAAGCGACUGUUUAGCAAAAACACAGGUAUCUGCGAAAGCGAGAGCUGACGUAUAGGUGCUGACACCUGCCCGGUGCUGGAAGGUUAAGGGAACAUGUUAGAGCAAUCGAAGCAUCGAACCGAAGCCCCAGUAAACGGCGGCCGUAACUAUAACGGUCCUAAGGUAGCGAAAUUCCUUGUCGGGUAAGUUCCGACCCGCACGAAUGGUGUAACGACUUGUGAGCUGUCUCAACAGGGGGCCCGGUGAAAUUGAAGUAUGGGUGAAGAUGCCCAUUACCCGCGACUGGACGGAAAGACCCCGUAGAGCUUUACUGCAGCCUGAUAUUGAGUUUCGGUAACUGAUGCACAGGAUAGGUGGGAGUCUGAGAGACACGGGUUUCGGCUCGUGUGGAGACGAUGUUGGGAUACCACUCUUCGGUUACUGAAAUUCUAACAUAGCUCUGUGAAACCAGAGGAUGGACAGUGUCAGGUGGACAGUUUGACUGGGGCGGUCGCCUCCGAAAGAGUAACGGAGGCGCCCAAAGGUACCCUCAGAAUGGAUGGAAACCAUUCGAAGAGCGCAAAGGCAGAAGGGUGCCUGACUGCGAGAUUGACAAAUCGAGCAGAGACGAAAGUCGGGCUUAGUGAUCCGGCGGUAUUGAGUGGAAAAGCCGUCGCUUAACGGAUAAAAGCUACCUCGGGGAUAACAGGCUGAUCUCCCCCAAGAGUCCACA
rnacentral:rRNA from 1 species